rnacentral:rRNA from 1 species
GAUGAACGCUAGCGGCAGGCCUAAUACAUGCAAGUCGAACGGGAUUAAGGAGCUUGCUUCUUAUGAGAGUGGCGCACGGGUGCGUAACACGUAUGCAACCUACCUUCAACUGGGGGAUAGCCUUCCGAAAGGGAGAUUAAUACCGCAUAACAUAAUUGAGUGGCAUAACUUGAUUAUCAAAAGUCAGGGUUGAAGAUGGGCAUGCGUCCGAUUAGUUAGUGGGUGAGGUAACGGCUCACCAAGGCUACGAUCGGUAGGGGAUCUGAGAGGAUGGCCCCCCACACUGGUACUGAGACACGGACCAGACUCCUACGGGAGGCAGCAGUAAGGAAUAUUGGUCAAUGGACGGAAGUCUGAACCAGCCAUGCCGCGUGCAGGAAGACGGUCCUCUGGAUUGUAAACUGCUUUUGUUAGGGAAGAAACUUCCGUACGUGUACGGGACUGACGGUACCUAAAGAAUAAGGAUCGGCUAACUCCGUGCCAGCAGCCGCCGUAAUAC